UUGACAGCACUGAAUGCAGAAGUCCUCUCUUUACCCACAGAAAAGGUGCAGCAUGGGCAGUGACAGCGUAAGCUUCCUCAUUGCUGCCAAGUGCCCUGCCCUGCAUCUGCCCUGACCCAGAGAUAACAUAGGGAGUCUGUUCUCUCUGUGGCCAUCGUGGGCUUGU
rnacentral:sRNA from 1 species